AACAAACCUUCAUGUGUUUAAGCUGACUGCAAUUGGCUCUAUAACUAUACAAUUCCUAACUGAUAAAAUUUCUUCCUGAGAAAGGAUGGAUUGAGACUCCCACCUUGUUCCCACCUUCUUUGGCUCUGAGUGUCUCCAAGCUGUGAGUCUUUCUGAGGGUCUGCAUUGUGAAGUGGCUUGAUUCUCACUUUCAUCCGUCUCUGAUGGUGGUACAGAGGCUUCUGGGAAGCAGGUAGCUGAGAAUAGUUUAUCAACACAAGCACCUUGCAAACCAGCAGAGCUCCAGUUUGGACUGCUUUGCCUCACAUGCACACAUGGAAUACAUCUGCCUGUGGUCACCUAUAUCCGUUUCAUCCUUCUUAAGGUAGGAAAAACAAAACAUGUGUGCCAGUGUGCCCCCAAGUUAUCUGCACAUUCUUGUUCACCUGUUAACUGAUAGCUUCUCUCUUACAUGUAAAAAGAGGCAUCUGUAUA